AGUGAACGCUGGCGGUAGGCCUAACACAUGCAAGUCGAACGGCAGCACAGUAAGAGCUUGCUCUUACGGGUGGCGAGUGGCGGACGGGUGAGGAAUGCAUCGGAAUCUACUUUUUCGUGGGGGAUAACGUAGGGAAACUUACGCUAAUACCGCAUACGACCUACGGGUGAAAGCAGGGGAUCUUCGGACCUUGCGCGAUUGAAUGAGCCGAUGUCGGAUUAGCUAGUUGGCGGGGUAAAGGCCCACCAAGGCGACGAUCCGUAGCUGGUCUGAGAGGAUGAUCAGCCACACUGGAACUGAGACACGGUCCAGACUCCCACGGGAGGCAGCAGUGGGGAAUAUUGGACAAAGGGCGCAAGCCUGAUCCAGCCAUACCGCGUGGGUGAAGAAGGCCUUCGGGUUGUAAAGCCCUUUUGUUGGGAAAGAAAAGCAGCAGGUUAAUACCCCGCUGUUCUGACGGUACCCAAAGAAUAAGCACCGGCUAACUUCGUG
rnacentral:rRNA from 1 species